AAGUCGUAACAAGGUAACCGUAGGUGAACCUGCGGUUGGAUCAUUAGUGGUUUUUUGGCAGCGCUGUUGUAGUGUAUGGUGGAGGUGUUGGGGUUUGGUUUGGGUUUGGUGUUUGUUGGUUGUGUGUUGCCUGGCCUUGGUCUUGGCACAGCAACGGACGACGGCACACUCGGACCAGACCCAACAGACCUCGCCAGAUAGACGUCUUUGCUUGCUUUGAUGAAACCAAAUCAAAAACAACUUUUGACAACGGAUCUCUUGGCUCUC
rnacentral:misc_RNA from 1 species